rnacentral:rRNA from 1 species
UCCGGUUGAUCCUGCCAGAGACCACUGCUAUCGGAGUUCGAUUAAGCCAUGCGAGUCGAGAGUCUUAGGGACUCGGCAGACGGCUCAGUAACACGUGGAUAACCUACCCUUAGGACCGGGAUAACCCCGAGAAAUUGGGGAUAAUACCGGAUAGGUCAUGGAGGCUGGAAUGCACCUUGAUUUAAAUCUUCAGGGGCCUAAGGAUGGAUCUGCGGUCGAUUAGGUUGUUGCCGGGGUAACGUCCCGACAAGCCUAUGAUCGAUACGGGUUGUGGGAGCAAUAGCCCGGAGAUGGAUUCUGAGACACGAAUCCAGGCCCUACGGGGCGCAGCAGGCGCGAAAACUUUACACUGCACGCAAGUGCGAUAAGGGGACUCCGAGUGUCCGUACACAGUACGGACUGUCCAGAUGCCUAAAAAGCAUCCGUUAGCAAGGGCCGGGCAAGACCGGUGCCAGCCGCCGCGGUAACACCGGCGGCUCGAGUGGUGGUCGCUAUUAUUGGGUCUAAAGGGUCCGUAGCCUGUCCAGCCAGUCCGUUGGGAAAUCUGACAGCUUAACUGUCAGGCUGCUAAGGGAUACUGUUGGACUUGGGACCGGGAGAGGCUAGAGGUACUUCAGGGGUAGGAGUGAAAUCCUGUGAUCCUUGAAGGACCACCGGUGGCGAAGGCGUCUAGCUAGAACGGCUCCGACGGUGAGGGACGAAAGCUAGGGGCACGAACGGGAUUAGAUACCCCGGUAGUCCUAGCCGUAAACGAUGUGAGCUAGGUGUCAGCCUUUCUGCGAGAGAGGCUGGUGCCGUAGGGAAGCCGUGAAGCUCACCACCUGGGAAGUACGGUCGCAAGGCUGAAACUUAAAGGAAUUGGCGGGGGAGCACUACAACGGGUGGAUGCUGCGGUUUAAUUGGAUUCAACGCCGGAAACCUUACCGGAGGCGACAGCAGAAUGAAGGUCAGGCUGAAGACCUUACCAGACUUGCUGAGAGGUGGUGCAUGGCCGUCGUCAGUUCGUAUCGUGAGACAUCCUGUUAAGUCAGGCAACGAGCGAGACCCGCGCCCAUAGUUGCCAGCAGAUCCGCUCUUCGGAGUGGAUGAUGGGUACACUAUGGGGACCGCUGGUGCUAAACCAGAGGAAGGAACGGGCAACGGUAGGUCAGUAUGCCCCGAAUCUUCCGGGAUACACGCGGCAUACAAUGGACGGGACAAUGGGAAUCGACCCUGAGAGGGGAAGGCAAUCUCUUAAACCCGUUCGAAGUUCGGAUUGAGGGCUGCAACUCGCCCUCAUGAAGCUGGAAUCCGUAGUAAUCGCGCUUCAACAUAGCGCGGUGAAUACGUCCCUGCUCCUUGCACACACCGCCCGUCAAACCAACCGAGUGAGGCCUGGAUGAGGCUGCUCUUUUUGGAGUGGUCGAAUCUGGGUUUUAUAAGGGGGGUU